UUGGUGGUUCAGUGGUAGAAUUCUCG
rnacentral:piRNA from 7 species